CUUCUGCGAUUUCUGUGACUUCUGCCACUUCUGCGAUUUCUGUGAUUCCUGCGAUUUCUGCGACUUACCACCGUAUGAAAAAGUUACAUCUGUCAACACAGAAAAUUGCAUCUCAACAAACCUGUCAUUGGUACCUGAACUACAUUUCAGUCACUCAGUAAAGUGAUAACUCAAAAUAUCAUUGUCAACAGAUCUGAAGAAAUUGUCACUGCGUCCUUAGACCGUUUUCGUCAGACGAGAGACACAGUUCUGACUCUGAUUACUGGUUGCUGUACGUAUCUAUCCACAUCAAGGCUGUUUUUGAGAGAGACUCGUGAAGAUUCAAGACAGCUCUUAGAGGAUUUGCAGUUUAAAAGUGAAAUAAUUGUGAAAUAAGUGUGUGAAUGAUUAAACUGUGUUUUAUUGAAGUUGUUGUGCGAUUUUAAAGGAAUAAUAAAUGUCAAAUACAGUGAGUGAAUAAUAAAAAUCUCA